CCCGGCGGCCGCCUCCCCCACCACCGGGAAAAGGAGAGGAAGGGGAAAGGGACCCCCUUUUCCUCGCCCCGGCGGUCGUCCGGGAGAAGGAUGACCUUUGUGCCUCCAGAUGUGCUGCUUCCGCGACAUGGAAGCCGGCCUGCUGAUGCUGCUCUCCUCCGAUGUCGGGACGACUGGCUGCUGCUGCACGCCGGUGAAUAGUGGCAAUUGGCGAUCGAGUACUCCUUGAUGUCAGAGAAUCCAACAUAAUUAAGGAGUGAUUUGACAAAGUUCUGAAAGCUGGUUCUAAUGUUGUAUUUACCACCAGGGGAAUUGAUGAUAUGUCUUUGAAGAGCAUUUGUUCCUAUGCUCUUCCUUGUCAGAGCUAUGAAGUAGUAGCCGCCUGUCGCUCUUCUCGAUGAUGGUGAUAAUGCAAGGUAGCGGUGGCCUGUUAAUAUCAAGACCCAUGAAGCAGUGAUGCGAAAAUGUUCAAGCAACUCACUCAAGAGCAUGGUGUUUACUCUGGCAGGUACAUAUUUCUUAUUUGAUUGUACCUUUGGCCUGUUAUUAUCUUCUUCUUUUUUACUUCUGGCCUAACGAGUUUCAGGUCGUGUCGCUCUGUUCCGUGGUGCGUGUCUCUUCGGUUACAGUAUUACCGUUUUACUGCCUUUGAUCAUCGCUAUAAGUUGUCUCAUGUGGAGGUUGUGGACAGAUCGCAGUUUGUUGGUGCCUGGCCGUACGCCUCUGGUGUAAGAUCGGCGAUAGCACUGAAACAUGCUCCGGCCACAAUUUAUAUAUGAUCAAAAGCCAUAAUUAGCUUCAGGCUAUCAGCAUAACUAGGCCAUAUAUAUUUAGAGGACACUGUUUCUACUUUUGGGCAUACAGUUUUUGUCAUCUUUGCAUACCAUAUUUCCUCUUUUAUGCGCUGGAUUAGGAAAAAAAAUCUUUGGGUUGCAAAUAGCACAGUAAUGUGUUCUUUGUUUAUCUGUCAGUGAGAAAAUCCAAGAUCUUGUCUUGGCUAAAAGAGAGUUAUGUGGAUGGUGUUCCUCCCACUGAGCAGCAUACAAUGGUAUCUUCUGGUGUUUUUACAGAAGAGAGUUGAGUGAGAAAUGGAAUAUGGUAGGAAAAGGUAAUAAUGCUUGGUAUGUAAGUCCGUUUUUAUAAAUUGCAAGUACUAUAUGACCUUGAUCACACCUUUGUUCAACAGUUGUUUUUGCUCAUAUUUCCUUUUGAACUUCUUAGGUAUAUAUUUGGUGAUCAUAGGCCUAUACUGGUUAAUUGUUAGCAAUUGCUUCAAAAACCUGUUAAAGUUAGUAAUUGCUUCUGGACCAUAGGUAUGAACACAUGUCAUUUUCAUUAAGUCAAGUGUCCCACCUGAAGCCUCUUGGUAACAAAAAUACGUUUACUUAUGAAAUAUCUUUCAAAAUACGGAAUAUGUAUUGCGGGAAAUCUGUGAUAAAAUGGGUCAUGAUGGGAUGUAUGCAAACUUUUGUUUCAGAAAACAGGGCACCAGGUCCAGGCUAGACAGGUGGUUAACCCUCUUUGUGAUAUCAUACUUUUUCUUGCAAUUCAAUGACUUACAGCUUAGGCCUUGAAUCAGUUUGUGGUUUACCUUGCAUCUUUUUGUGCCUUGUGCUCACAACAAAUUGAUGCAUCUUCUUUUGCAUCGGAAAAGUGGUAAAUACGUUUGUAUGUAUAUAAUGCCCGGUUUAUAGGUUGAUAAUUAUAGUGAAUAAGAUGUAGGUGCAUAUUCUGUUGCAUUUCAAAUUUUAUUGAUUGGAAUUUUCUAUCUGUGUUCUGGUGUGCUUGUCUUAUCUAUGCAUUUGAAACUAGCAAACUAUGUCUUUUCGAGAUAGUAAAAUUGAGGAAAACGGAUUCAGUUCUUCAAUAGAAAGAUAAUCGUUAAGACAGCUAUGUACUCUUGCAUUCUAAUUAGCAUUAAAGGCCUUGAGAAAGGCUGGCCCUGCAACCCUAUUAUCCCACUCUGCAGAAUCGAACCUGAAACUGAUGUUUGCCUCCUCGCCAACUGCCCCUUUGGGAUUUUGGGCUUGA